rnacentral:rRNA from 1 species
UGGGGAAUUUUGCACAAUGGGGGAAACCCUGAUGCAGCGACGCCGCGUGUACGAUGAAGAUCUUCGGAUUGUAAAGUACUGUCCUUGGUGAAGAUAAUGACUGUAACCAAGAAGCAAGCCCUGGCUAAAUACGUGCCAGCAGCCGCGGUAAUACGUAUGGGGCAAGCGUUGUCCGGAAUUAUUGGGCGUAAAGGGUACGUAGGCGGUUAUUUAAGUCUAAAUUAAAAGGCAUUGGCUCAACCAAUGUAAGGUUUAGAUACUGGAUAACUUGAGUAGAUGAGGGGAAAGUGGAAUUCCAUGUGUAGCGGUGAAAUGCGUAGAUAUAUGGAGGAACACCAAUGGCGAAGGCAACUUUCUGGAAUCAAACUGACGCUGAGGUACGAAGGCGUGGGGAGCAAACAGGAUUAGAUACCCUGGUA